rnacentral:rRNA from 1 species
UACGGAAGGUCCUAGCGUUGUUCGGAAUUACUGGGCGUAAAGCGCAUGUAGGCGGAACAAAAAGUUAGAAGUGAAAUCCCUGGGCUCAACCUAGGAAUUGCUUUUAAAACUUUUGUUCUGGAAUUCAGGAGAGGAAAGUGGAAUUUCCAGUGUAGAGGUGAAAUUCGUAGAUAUUGGAAGGAACACCAGUGGCGAAGGCGACUUUCUGGACUGAUAUUGACGCUGAGAUGCGAAGGCAUGGGUAGCAAACGGGAUUAGAUACCCCGGUAGUCCAUGCAGUAAACGAUGGGUGCUAGUCGUCGGACUUUUGUUCGGUGUCGUAGCUAACGCGUUAAGCACCCCGCCUGGGGAGUACGGUCGCAAGAUUAAAACUCAAAUAAAUUGACGGGGACCCGCACAAGCAGUGGAGCAUGUGGUUUAAUUCGACGCAACGCGAAGAACCUUACCAGCGUUUGACAUGGAAAGUACCGGUUACAGAAUCGUAACCUUCAGUUCGGCUGGCUUUCACACAGGUGCUGCAUGGCUGUCGUCAGCUCGUGUCGUGAGAUGUUGGGUUAAGUCCCGCAACGAGCGCAACCCUUAUCGUUAGUUACUAACAGUUCGGUUGAGGACUCUAGCGAAACUGCCGGUGAUAAGCCGGAGGAAGGUGGGGAUGACGUCAAGUCCUCAUGGCCCUUACCCGCCGGGGUACACACGUCAUACAAUGGUAACUACAUCGGGCCGCAAUCCCGCGAGGUGGAGCAAAUCCCCAAAAGUUAUCUCAGUUCGGAUUGCACUCUGCACCUCGAGCGCAUGAAGUCGGAAUUCCUAGUAAUCCCGGAUCAGCACGCCGCGGUGAAUACGUUCCCGGGUCU